rnacentral:snRNA from 1 species
GAGUUGUAAAGCAACAGUGUCGA